GCCUUGGCUGGGAUGAUGGAGUUGGGGCUGGUCCUGCUUGGAGUGGGGGAUUGGACUAGAUGUGACCCUCUGAGGUCUCUUCAACCUUCAUUUUCCUGUGAGUCU